UAAAGUGGCGAACGGCUGAGUAACACGUGGGCAACCUGCCCUUUGCACUGGGAUAGCCUCGGGAAACCGAGGUUAAUACCGGAUACUCCAUAUUUGUCGCAUGGCGAAUAUGGGAAAGCUCCGGCGGCAAAGGAUGGGCCCGCGGCCUGUUAGCUAGUUGGUGGGGUAGUGGCCUACCAAGGCAAUGAUGGGUAGCCGGGUUGAGAGACCGACCGGCCAGAUUGGGACUGAGACACGGCCCAGACUCCUACGGGAGGCAGCAG
rnacentral:rRNA from 1 species